UCUGGAGAACAGGCCGAGCAUCCUCCUCUAUUGCAGGCUCUCCCCCAACUGUGCUGCAGGGCCGGCCUCUUAUACUUCCGGCCACGCCCUGGUUCUUCCGGCGAGGGUGGCAGGGCGAUCUAGGCUCCACCCUCAAAGGGGCGUAUAAUGCUCCCUCACUCUCCCAGUCGGAGAGAGGCCACUCCGCCUCACUACAGAGAGUUAUCCUCGUGGCCCUGCAUGGUCCCGUCAGCACUGGUUCGGCAUGCUGUUGGACCUUUUGGCAGUUGCGUCUCUUUCCCCGCCUCUUUAGCCAGACUUGCUGUCGCAGAACCACGGCAACCUAUUACAUCCAAACCUGGUGGUGCUGCAUCUGAGAGCUUGGCUCCUGCGUGGCUGAGCGUGGAAGAACAGGCGUACUUGGCCUCUGUUCAACAGGUUUUGCUGGGUAGCAGAAAACCCUCCACCAGGGCGACCUACCUAGCAAAGUGGAAACGGUUCACGUGUUGGGCUUCGGAUUGGUGCCUUCAGGCCUCGCAGGCUUUGCUGCAAGAUGUCUUGGAUUACUUACUGCAUCUCAAGCUCCAAGGGAUGUCCCUCUCUUCCGUCAAGGUCCACCUGGCAGCCAUCUCAGCAUUGCAUCCCCUGCUCCAGGGCAGGUCUCUCUUUGCCCAUCCUAUGACGGCAAGGUUUUUAAAGGGUCUGGAGUGCCUCUAUCUGCACAUCCGGGACCUUGUCCCUCCUUGGGACUUGAACCUCAUGCUGCCCAGGCUCAUGGGUUCCCCCUUUGAGCCUUUGGCUACCUGCUCCCUCCUGCUGCUGUCCUGGAAGGUCUCUUUCCUGGUCACUAUAACCUUGGCCCGCAGGGUGUCUGAGAUUAGGGCGCUCACUUCGGAUCUGCCCUAUACGGUCUUCCUCAAGGACAAGGUCCAGCUGCAUCCGCACCUGGCGUUUCUGCCCAAGGUUGUCUCUCGGUUUCAUACAGGCCAGGACAUAUACUUAUCAGUCUUCUCUCCAAAGCCUCAUGCGAUGGAUGAGGAGUGCAGACUUCACACCUUUGACGUCAGGAGAGCGCUGGCAUUCUACAAAGAUAGAACGAAGCCAUUCCGCAAAUCAACACAGUUGUUCGUGUCAGACAGGAUGAAAGGUCGACCAGUAUCUGCUCAGAGAAUCUCAUUCUGGAUCACAGCCUGCAUUCGCUACUGCUAUGAGCUGGCAAAGGUGCCCCCGCCGGCAAUUGUAACAGAUCACUUGACUAGGGUGUGCAGGCAUUAUGAGCCUUCCUGGUGCAGGUGCCGAUCCAGGAAAUCUGUUUGGCUGUGACCUGGUCGUCAGUCCACAUGUUCACAUCACAUUAUGCACUGACCCAGCAAGCUCAAGAUGAUGCUGCCUUUGGCAGAGCAGUGCUCCAGUAAAGUCCAAGCCCAUCUCUGAGGAUUCUGUUUGUGAGUCACCUACAAUGGAAUCGACGUGAGCAAGCACUCGAAGAAGAAAAAAACGUUACCCACCUUUUCAUAACUGUUGUUCUUCGAGAUGUGUUGCUCAUGUCCAUUCCAUUAUCCGCCCUCCCACCUCUCUGUCAGAGUUGUCAGCAAGAAGCAACCGAGUGGGCUU
rnacentral:lncRNA from 1 species